rnacentral:rRNA from 1 species
AUACGUAGGGUGCGAGCGUUGUCCGGAAUUACUGGGCGUAAAGAGCUCGUAGGUGGUUUGUCGCGUCGUCUGUGAAAUUCCGGGGCUUAACUCCGGGCGUGCAGGCGAUACGGGCAUAACUUGAGUACUGUAGGGGAGACUGGAAUUCCUGGUGUAGCGGUGAAAUGCGCAGAUAUCAGGAGGAACACCGGUGGCGAAGGCGGGUCUCUGGGCAGUAACUGACGCUGAGGAGCGAAAGCAUGGGUAGCGAACAGGAUUAGAUCCCCUGGUAGUCCAUGCCGUAAACGGUGGCGCUAGGUGUAGGGGUCUUCCACGACUUCUGUGCCGUAGCUAACGCAUUAAGCGCCCCGCCUGGGGAGUACGGCCGCAAGGCUAAAACUCAAAGGAAUUGACGGGG